rnacentral:rRNA from 2 species
CCCGCACAAGCGGUGGAGCAUGUGGUUUAAUUCGAAGCAACGCGAAGAACCUUACCAGGUCUUGACAUCCUCUGACAAUCCUAGAGAUAGGACGUCCCCUUCGGGGGCAGAGUGACAGGGGUGCAUGGUUGUCGUCAGCUCGUGUCGUGAGAUGUUGGGUUAAGUCCCGCAACGAGCGCAACCCUUGAUCUUAGUUGCCAGCAUUCAGUUGGGCACUCUAAGGUGACUGCCGGUGACAAACCGGAGGAAGGUGGGGAUGACGUCAAAUCAUCAUGCCCCUUAUGACCUGGGCUACACACGUGCUACAAUGGACAGAACAAAGGGCAGCGAAACCGCGAGGUUAAG